rnacentral:rRNA from 1 species
CUAGUAAUCGCGCAUCAGCCAUGGCGCGGUGAAUACGUUCCCGGGCCUUGUACACACCGCCCGUCACACCAUGAGAGUUGGGAAUACCCGAAGCCUGUGAGCUAACUAAUAGAGGCAGCAGUCGAAGGUAGAAUCAAUGAUUGGGGUGAAGUCGUAACAAGGUAUC